CAGCAGCCACGGGAACACGGAGGGGGCUAGCGUUGUUCGGAAUUACUGGGCGUAAAGCGCACGUAGGCGGCUUGGUAAGUUAGAGGUGAAAGCCCGGAGCUCAACUCCGGAAUUGCCUUUAAGACUGCCGAGCUAGUAGGUGAGAGAGGUAAGUGGAAUUCCGAGUGUAGAGGUGAAAUUCGUAGAUAUUCGGAAGAACACCAGUGGCGAAGGCGACUCGCUGGACAAGUAUUGACGCUGAGGUGCGAAAGCGUGGGGAGCAAACAGGAUUAGAUACCCCCGUAGUCCCUGUCUCUUAUAC
rnacentral:rRNA from 1 species